GCAAGUCGAACGAGAAAGUGGAGCAAUCCAUGAGUAAAGUGGCGACCGGGUGAGUAACACGUGACUAACCUACCUCCGAGUGGGGAAUAACUCCGGGAAACCGGGGCUAAUACCGCAUAACAUCGCAAGAUCAAAGCAGCAAUGCGCUUGGAGAGGGGGUCGCGGCUGAUUAGCUCGUUGGCGGGGUAACGGCCCACCAAGGCGAAGAUCGGUAUCCGGCCUGAGAGGGCGCACGGACACACUGGAACUGAAACACGGUCCAGACUCCUACGGGAGGCAGCAGUGGGGAAUUUUGCGCAAUGGGGGAAACCCUGACGCAGCAACGCCGCGUGGAGGAUGAAGCCCUUUGGGGCGUAAACUCCUUUCGACUCGGACGAUAAUGACGGUACGGGUGGAAGAAGCACCGGCUAACUCUGUGCCAGCAGCCGCGGUAAUACAGAGGGUGCGAGCGUUGUUCGGAAUUAUUGGGCGUAAAGGGCGCGUANGCGGUGCGGUAAGUCACCUGUGAAAUCUCCCGG
rnacentral:rRNA from 1 species